rnacentral:rRNA from 11 species
UGCUGGAGGUAUCAGAAGUGCGAAUGCUGACAUAAGUAACGAUAAAGCGGGUGAAAAGCCCGCUCGCCGGAAGACCAAGGGUUCCUGUCCAACGUUAAUCGGGGCAGGGUGAGUCGACCCCUAAGGCGAGGCCGAAAGGCGUAGUCGAUGGGAAACGGGUUAAUAUUCCCGUACUUGGUGUUACUGCGAAGGGGGGACGGAGAAGGCUAUGUUGGCCGGGCGACGGUUGUCCCGGUUUAAGCGUGUAGGUGUGUGUUCCAGGUAAAUCCGGUUCACUUUAACACUGAGGCGUGACGACGAGGCACUACGGUGCUGAAGCAACAAAUGCCCUGCUUCCAGGAAAAGCCUCUAAGCAUCAGGUAACACGAAAUCGUACCCCAAACCGACACAGGUGGUCAGGUAGAGAAUACCAAGGCGCUUGAGAGAACUCGGGUGAAGGAACUAGGCAAAAUGGUGCCGUAACUUCGGGAGAAGGCACGCUGACACGUAGGUGAAGUGAUUUACUCAUGGAGCUGAAGUCAGUCGAAGAUACCAGCUGGCUGCAACUGUUUAUUAAAAACACAGCACUGUGCAAACACGAAAGUGGACGUAUACGGUGUGACGCCUGCCCGGUGCCGGAAGGUUAAUUGAUGGGGUCAGCGCAAGCGAAGCUCCUGAUCGAAGCCCCGGUAAACGGCGGCCGUAACUAUAACGGUCCUAAGGUAGCGAAAUUCCUUGUCGGGUAAGUUCCGACCUGCACGAAUGGCGUAAUGAUGGCCAGGCUGUCUCCACCCGAGACUCAGUGAAAUUGAACUCGCUGUGAAGAUGCAGUGUACCCGCGGCAAGACGGAAAGACCCCGUGAACCUUUACUAUAGCUUGACACUGAACAUUGAGCCUUGAUGUGUAGGAUAGGUGGGAGGCUUUGAAGUGUGGACGCCAGUCUGCAUGGAGCCGACCUUGAAAUACCACCCUUUAAUGUUUGAUGUUCUAACGUGGACCCGUAAUCCGGGUUGCGGACAGUGUCUGGUGGGUAGUUUGACUGGGGCGGUCUCCUCCUAAAGAGUAACGGAGGAGCACGAAGGUUGGCUAAUCCUGGUCGGACAUCAGGAGGUUAGUGCAAUGGCAUAAGCCAGCUUGACUGCGAGCGUGACGGCGCGAGCAGGUGCGAAAGCAGGUCAUAGUGAUCCGGUGGUUCUGAAUGGAAGGGCCAUCGCUCAACGGAUAAAAGGUACUCCGGGGAUAACAGGCUGAUACCGCCCAAGAGUUCAUAUCGACGGCGGUGUUUGGCACCUCGAUGUCGGCUCAUCACAUCCUGGGGCUGAAGUAGGUCCCAAGGGUAUGGCUGUUCGCCAUUUAAAGUGGUACGCGAGCUGGGUUUAGAACGUCGUGAGACAGUUCGGUCCCUAUCUGCCGUGGGCGCUGGAGAACUGAGGGGGGCUGCUCCUAGUACGAGAGGACCGGAGUGGACGCAUCACUGGUGUUCGGGUUGUCAUGCCAAUGGCACUGCCCGGUAGCUAAAUGCGGAAGAGAUAAGUGCUGAAAGCAUCUAAGCACGAAACUUGCCCCGAGAUGAGUUCUCCCUGAGACUUAGAGUCUCCUGAAGGAACGUUGAAGACGACGACGUUGAUAGGCCGGGUGUGUAAGCGCAGCGAUGCGUUGAGCUAACCGGUACUAAUGAACCGUGAGGCUUAACCUUACAACGCCGAAG